UACGUAGGGUCCGAGCGUUGUCCGGAAUUACUGGGCGUAAAGAGCUCGUAGGUGGUUUGUCGCGUUGUUCGUGAAAACUCACAGCUCAACCCUGGGCCUGCAUUCGAUACGGGCAGACUAGAGUACGGCAGGGGAGACUGGAAUUCCUGGUGUAGCGGUGAAAUGCGCAGAUAUCAGGAGGAACACCGGUGGCGAAGGCGGGUCUCUGGGCCGAAACUGACGCUGAGGAGCGAAAGCGUGGGGAGCGAACAGG
rnacentral:rRNA from 1 species